AGAGUUUGAUCCUGGCUCAAGAACGAACGCUGGCGGCAUGCCUAACACAUGCAAGUCGAACGAGACCUUCGGGUCUAGUGGCGCACGGGUGCGUAACGCGUGGGAAUCUGCCCUUGGGUUCGGAAUAACAGCGAGAAAUUGCUGCUAAUACCGGAUGAUGACGUAAGUCCAAAGAUUUAUCGCCCAAGGAUGAGCCCGCGUAGGAUUAGCUAGUUGGUGAGGUAAAGGCUCACCAAGGCGACGAUCCUUAGCUGGUCUGAGAGGAUGAUCAGCCACACUGGGACUGAGACACGGCCCAGACUCCUACGGGAGGCAGCAGUGGGGAAUAUUGGACAAUGGGCGAAAGCCUGAUCCAGCAAUGCCGCGUGAGUGAUGAAGGCCUUAGGGUUGUAAAGCUCUUUUACCCGGGAUGAUAAUGACAGUACCGGGAGAAUAAGCUCCGGCUAACUCCGUG
rnacentral:rRNA from 1 species